UUUCUCUCUAUAUAAUCCAACAUCCCCUACCUCCAUGUAUUAUAACUUUAGGGUUCAGACGCCUCUUUUGCUUCAUCCGCUGCGACUGAGAGUGAUGAGUAAUCCAUAUUUUUUGAGGUGUGGUUGGCUUCAAGACCCUGUUUUCAGGGAGAACCUACUUGGGGUUACCACAUCAAGUAUGAAAUUAAUGGAUCUUUCUGAGUCAGUUUACUAUUCUUUCAAUAAAAAAUAUUAACAUGUUUUGCAUAUUAAAUAUACUCAAAAUCAAAUCAAUUUGUUAGAUUGUAGGUGCCAAGGAUGAUCUAAUCCAUGUUGUUUGAGGUGCGGCAGAUCCAAGUCUCUGCUCUGCAGAAAGAACCUACUUGGUGAAGCUGCAUUCACAUGAUAUUACUGGAUUUUACUGAGGCCCCAAUUAUCAAAUCUUUGUGUAUUUUUUUAACCAUGUUUAUGUCUCACUUUAUUACUAAUAUAUUUGUAAAUUGAUUGCUUUCUCGAUUGAGUUUUAACUAUAUUCUUACCCUUUUAAUUAAAAAUUAUGGGUGUAGAAUCUGAAAAAACUCAUAAAUUGUGUGCUGUCAUCAGCUUCUCUUUCAUAUUGUGAGAUUGGAGUCAAAAAAGGGCACCACAUUUAAUAAUAGUGCCCUUUAUAUACAUAAUGUUGAUUAUAAUGGUGGAUUGGAAUGUUUAUGGAUAGAAACAGAUGGGUUUCAUAUUUAUAUAUAUAUAUAGACACGCACACACACACAGUACACACAUUAUCUGUUUGAUUUUAGUAUACGUAAAUCCUCUUCUUCAAUGUUUUAGAAAGUGGUUUGGACUGUCAAGUGCUAGGGUUUUAGAGACUGAUUCAAAUGUAAAGAGUGUUUUUGAUAUUGUUGUUGCAAGUUCAUAGCUCGUGGUGUUUUAUUAAUACACAUAUAUAUACCCUGUGAGGAAGAAAGCCCAUGCAUAGGAAGUGCCGUUUGACACUUUAACAGCAGUGGAUCAAAUUGCCUCUUUUUCCAUCCGCCAUUGCACACAAAUCUUAGGGUUUGUUUGAUUGGCCGGAAAUUGAGUGUGGUGAUCUACUGUGUGUGUGAUUUAAAACGGGUCUCUGAGGGUUGUUAAUUAUGUAGUACUUUGUUUGAAUUAUGUUGUGUGUGUGUGUUGUCAUUUGAAUGAAGGUCUGAUGCCACGUCGACGGUAGCCAAUGAGCAUUGACCGACGAUGCUAUGAUUGGACCAAAAUCAAUUCUUUGUUUCGCAUUUUUGAUAGGAAUCUGUGGACCGAUGAAAUUCAGUUCGUUCACAGAGCCGGUUUGUGCGAUUACAUUUUGUUAUUAGUAUUUUAUUGUGAUCUAUUUUAUUGUUCUUUGUUUUUAGUUCAACUGUGAAGCCAAUGAUGAUUAUUAUUUAAUAAAUUGGAAUUACCGUCUGAAUUACA